rnacentral:rRNA from 1 species
GGGACACGUGGUAUCCUGUCUGAAUAUGGGGGGACCAUCCUCCAAGGCUAAAUACUCCUGACUGACCGAUAGUGAACCAGUACCGUGAGGGAAAGGCGAAAAGAACCCCGGCGAGGGGAGUGAAAAAGAACCUGAAACCGUGUACGUACAAGCAGUGGGAGCCUCUUAAUGGGGUGACUGCGUACCUUUUGUAUAAUGGGUCAGCGACUUAUAUUCUGUAGCAAGGUUAACCGAAUAGGGGAGCCGAAGGGAAACCGAGUCUUAACUGGGCGUUAAGUUGCAGGGUAUAGACCCGAAACCCGGUGAUCUAGCCAUGGGCAGGUUGAAGGUUGGGUAACACUAACUGGAGGACCGAACCGACUAAUGUUGAAAAAUUAGCGGAUGACUUGUGGCUGGGGGUGAAAGGCCAAUCAAACCGGGAGAUAGCUGGUUCUCCCCGAAAGCUAUUUAGGUAGCGCCUCGUGAAUUCAUCUCCGGGGGUAGAGCACUGUUUCGGCAAGGGGGUCAUCCCGACUUACCAACCCGAUGCAAACUGCGAAUACCGGAGAAUGUUAUCACGGGAGACACACGGCGGGUGCUAACGUCCGUCGUGAAGAGGGAAACAACCCAGACCGCCAGCUAAGGUCCCAAAGUCAUGGUUAAGUGGGAAACGAUGUGGGAAGGCCCAGACAGCCAGGAUGUUGGCUUAGAAGCAGCCAUCAUUUAAAGAAAGCGUAAUAGCUCACUGGUCGAGUCGGCCUGCGCGGAAGAUGUAACGGGGCUAAACCAUGCACCGAAGCUGCGGCAGCGACACUAUGUGUUGUUGGGUAGGGGAGCGUUCUGUAAGCCUGCGAAGGUGUGCUGUGAGGCAUGCUGGAGGUAUCAGAAGUGCGAAUGCUGACAUAAGUAACGAUAAAGCGGGUGAAAAGCCCGCUCGCCGGAAGACCAAGGGUUCCUGUCCAACGUUAAUCGGGGCAGGGUGAGUCGACCCCUAAGGCGAGGCCGAAAGGCGUAGUCGAUGGGAAACAGGUUAAUAUUCCUGUACUUGGUGUUACUGCGAAGGGGGGACGGAGAAGGCUAUGUUGGCCGGGCGACGGUUGUCCCGGUUUAAGCGUGUAGGCUGGUUUUCCAGGCAAAUCCGGAAAACCAAGGCUGAGGCGUGAUGACGAGGCACUACGGUGCUGAAGCGACAAAUGCCCUGCUUCCAGGAAAAGCCUCUAAGCAUCAGGUAACAUCAAAUCGUACCCCAAACCGACACAGGUGGUCAGGUAGAGAAUACCAAGGCGCUUGAGAGAACUCGGGUGAAGGAACUAGGCAAAAUGGUGCCGUAACUUCGGGAGAAGGCACGCUGAUAUGUAGGUGAAGCGACUUGCUCGUGGAGCUGAAAUCAGUCGAAGAUACCAGCUGGCUGCAACUGUUUAUUAAAAACACAGCACUGUGCAAACACGAAAGUGGACGUAUACGGUGUGACGCCUGCCCGGUGCCGGAAGGUUAAUUGAUGGGGUUAGCGGUAACGCGAAGCUCUUGAUCGAAGCCCCGGUAAACGGCGGCCGUAACUAUAACGGUCCUAAGGUAGCGAAAUUCCUUGUCGGGUAAGUUCCGACCUGCACGAAUGGCGUAAUGAUGGCCAGGCUGUCUCCACCCGAGACUCAGUGAAAUUGAACUCGCUGUGAAGAUGCAGUGUACCCGCGGCAAGACGGAAAGACCCCGUGAACCUUUACUAUAGCUUGACACUGAACAUUGAGCCUUGAUGUGUAGGAUAGGUGGGAGGCUUUGAAGUGUGG